rnacentral:siRNA from 1 species
GAACCUUGUGUCUCGGUCUGACA